rnacentral:rRNA from 1 species
UACGUAUGGUGCGAACGUUGUUCGGAAUCACUGGGCAUAAAGAGCACGUAGGCGGUUAAGCAAGUCCAUUGUGAAAUCCCCCGGCCUAACCGGGGAACUGCAUUGGAUACUACUUGACUUGAGUGCAGGAGGGGAGAGUGGAAUUCCCAGUGUAGAGGUGAAAUUCGUAGAUAUUGGGAAGAACACCGGUGGCGAAGGCGGCCAUCUGGACCGCAACUGACGCUGAGGCGCGAAAGCGUGGGGAGCAAACAGG